rnacentral:pre_miRNA from 1 species
UAAAUACUCCCUCCGUCCGGAAAUACUUGUCAAAGAAAUGGAUGUAUCUAGACGUAUUUUAGUUCUAGAUACAUCCACUUUUAUCCAUUUAUGCGACAAGUAUUUCUGGACGAAGGGAGUAUAAG